rfam:Toxocara canis scaffold892, whole genome shotgun sequence.
GUAGCAGUAGCUCAGUGGUAGAGCCCCCGCUUCGGAUGGGGGGAGACCUGGGUUCGAUUACCAACUGUUUCC